UACGUGAGGGUGCGAGCGUUGUCCGGAAUUAUUGGGCGUAAAGAGCUCGUAGGCGGUUUGUCGCGUCGGCCGUGAAAAACCUUGGGGGCUUAACUCCAAGCUUGCGGUCGAUACGGGCAGACGUUGAGUUCGGCAGGGGAGACUGGAAUUCCGUGGUGUAGCGGUGAAAUGCGCAGAUAUCAGGAGGAACACCGGUGGCGAAGGCGGGUCUCUGGGCAACAACUGACGCUGAGGAGCGAAAGCGUGGGGAGCGAACAGG
rnacentral:rRNA from 1 species